CUGACGAGUGGCGAACGGGUGCGUAACGCGUAUGCAACCUACCUCUAACUGGGGAAUAGCCCGGGGAAACUCGGAUUAAUACCCCAUAACAUUAUGGAAUCGCAUGAUUUUAUAAUUAAAACUCCGGUGGUUAGAGAUGGGCAUGCGUCCUAUUAGCUAGUUGGUGAGGUAACGGCUCACCAAGGCUACGAUAGGUAGGGGGUCUGAGAGGAUUAUCCCCCACACUGGUACUGAGACACGGACCAGACUCC
rnacentral:rRNA from 1 species